CUCGAAAGGUUGAAUCUUCUCAGUUAAAAACGGUUAAGCAGAUUCAAACCGAGAUAGAGAUACGAGUGGACGUAAGCGCGCAAUAUGCUACUUAAGGUGGAAAAGCGGGCGACAGUAGUACCAGUACCAUUUUAUUUUAAUAUAGAGGGAGGCCAAAAGCAAGCACAAAUUUGGAAGAGACUAGAAUGCAGCAAAUUAAGAAGAGGAGGAGGACAGGCUAUUAUGCAGGAAAUUAAGAAGAGGAAGAAGAGUCCGCCACUUCAGCUUAAAUUUAUUACCACAGACCACACACAGAAGGACUUACAUCACCUUUCAAAAUAAUACGGACUAACUAUCGAAUGCAACGAGUUAGGGCAGUCAACCCAAAUGUAGUCCAGCAUAGCCUUCAAAGUGAUGAACUAACUGACAGUGCGUAAAACAAUUUGACCUACAUCAGUCACAAAAUAAAUAAACAAAUAAUAAAAAAGCUUUCCCAUUA